GGGAAGGUGCAUCGUGCUCUUAAGAGAAGGAAAACUACACAAAUUUACGAUCAAGGUGACGUUAUGCCUUGUAACUGCCGUCAGGGCACCGCAUUGCACAGCCACGUUGGCGACCAACUUGCAAGCGAGGGAGUCUUUGGCCUCGGCGUUCCUAUAAAUGAUGCCGUGGACCUGAGUGCAAUCCAACUCUGGAAUAGCCGAAAUACACCCGCGGAGGCUGGGCGGCUCUUCGACGUGAGCAAAUCCGCAAACCAGGACCCCAUCAGCAGCGAUGAUGACCAGGAACUGCUGAUUAGCGCUCCGCUUUCGUCUGUGUGCCGUAUAAAAGGUGUCUCGUUCGUGGCGCCGGCUAAUGAGACCGCACCGUCGCGUGUGAAGAUCUUUGUAAACCUCGUGAAUGUGGCAGGGUUCAGCUCGGUUCAGCGGCUAGUCCCACAGGAGCAGCUGCAACUCGCAGGCGGUGGUUCCGAGGAGCGGAUCGUCUACCGAGUGAGUGCAGCCAAGUUCUCUUCGGUUUCCUCGCUCACCUUCUUUUUUGAUGAGAGCUUCAAUGGUGCUGAGACGAAGGUGCUGCGCAUCGAACUGUUCGGGGAAAACACAGGCAAGACAACGCAGCAACAGGUGGCAACGAAUAUUGUCUACGAGGGUCGUGGGAAUCCUGCCGAUCACCAGAGCAGCGAAGAAAAGAAGUUGCUUUUUGAGGUUAGAUGAGAGAGAAGGAGGGGUGGAGUUUUUGGUGGAUGCUUUCGCUGUUUGUAUCUUUGCUCUAUGAUGAUGAUAGAAUGGGCGGUUCACGAAAUCAGCGGAGGUAAAAAAAAAUGGAAGUCCAGUUUCUGGUGUUUUUUCGUGCUGGCGGCAGGAGGACCUGCUCGUGGUUAAUCGUUGUAUUGGCAGUCGCUUUCUACAGUCUAUUGCCCGUAAAGCAGUAUAUCUAUUAUGUGUGUGUGUGCGUCUCACAAGUGCUCCCUUCUCUUCUUGCUCUCAUGUUCUUGCUGCUUGUGAAACACGCAUAAG
rnacentral:misc_RNA from 1 species